rnacentral:rRNA from 1 species
GAACGAGAAAGUGGAGCAAUCCAUGAGUAAAGUGGCGACCGGGUGAGUAACACGUGACUAACCUACCCUUGAGUGGGGGAUAACCUCGGGAAAUCUGGGCUAAUACCGCAUAACACUCACGAGUCAAAGCAGCAAUGCGCUUGGAGAGGGGGUCGCGGCAGAUUAGUUAGUUGGCGGGGUAAUGGCCCACCAAGACGAUGAUCUGUAUCCGGCCUGAGAGGGCGCACGGACACACUGGAACUGAAACACGGUCCAGACUCCUACGGGAGGCAGCAGUGGGGAAUUUUGCGCAAUGGGGGAAACCCUGACGCAGCAACGCCGCGUGGAGGAUGAAGCCCCUUGGGGUGUAAACUCCUUUCGAUAGGGAAGAUAAUGACGGUACCUAUAGAAGAAGCCCCGGCUAACUUCGUGCCAGCAGCCGCGGUAAUACGAGGGGGGCAAGCGUUGUUCGGAAUUAUUGGGCGUAAAGGGUGCGUAGGCGGUUUGGCAAGUCUUGUGUGAAAUCUUCGGGCUCAACCCGAAGCCUGCACGAGAAACUGCCGGGCUUGAGUAUGGGAGAGGUGAGUGGAAUUUCCGGUGUAGCGGUGAAAUGCGUAGAUAUCGGAAGGAACACCUGUGGCGAAAGCGGCUCACUGGACCAUAACUGACGCUGAGGCACGAAAGCUAGGGGAGCAAACAGGAUUAGAUACCCUGGUAGUCCUAGCCCUAAACGAUGAUUGCUUGAUGUGACAGGUACCCAAUCCUGUCGUGUCGAAGCUAACGCG